CUGAUUCAACACGUAGUUAUCAUAACCCUGUCAACUUCCAGAAUAUGCCGAGCAUUCAUCCUCCACCUAAAUUCAAUGAUACUGUUAAUGAUCAGAACUCUGCAAACAUUCCACCAUCUUCACAGUUUCAUGAUAGGGUAGAUGAUAAUAAGCAUUCUUCAAUUGUUUCUCCAUCAUCUCACUCUUAUACACCUGGAGUUUAUCCUUCUCAAGACUUCCAUCCACCUCCAUCUUCCCAGGAUUAUCAUCAUCCACCUCCAUCUUCCCAAGAUUAUCAUCAUCCACCACCAUCCCAGGAUUAUCACCGUCCACCAUCUUCCCAAGAUUACCAUCCUCCACCACCUUCCCAAGAUUAUCAUUCUCCACCACCUUCCCAGGAGUACCAUCCUCCACCACCUUCCCAAGAUUAUCAACCUCCUCCACCUUCCCAAGAUUUCCAUCAUCCUCCACCUGCUAGAUCAGACAGUUCUUAUUCUGAGCCCUACAACCACCAGCAAUACUCACCAGAUCAGUCACAGAACUUAGGUCCUAAUUACCCUUCUCAUGAAACUCCCUCUUCUUACUCUCUUCCCCAUUUUCAAUCUUAUCCAAGUUU
rnacentral:lncRNA from 1 species